rnacentral:rRNA from 1 species
AGUGAACGCUGGCGGUAGGCCUAACACAUGCAAGUCGAACGGCAGCACAGUAAGAGCUUGCUCUUACGGGUGGCGAGUGGCGGACGGGUGAGGAAUACAUCGGAAUCUACUUUUUCGGGGGGGAUAACGUAGGGAAGCUUACGCUACUACCGCAUACGACCUACCGGUGAAAGCAGGGGAUCUUCGGACCUUGCGCGAUUGAAUGAGCCGAUGUCGGAUUAGCUAGUUGGCGGGGUAAAGGCCCACCAAGGCGACGAUCCGUAGCUGGUCUGAGGGGAUGAUCAGCCACACUGGAACUGAGACACGGUCCAGACUCCUACGGGAGGCAGCAGUGGGGAAUAUUGGACAAUGGGCGCAAGCCUGAUCCAGCCAUACCGCGUGAGUGAAGAAGGCCUUCGGAUUGUAAAGCCCUUUUGUUGGGAAAGAAAAGCAGCAGGUUAAUACCCCGCUGUUCUGACGGUACCCAAAGAGUAAGCACCGGCUAACUUCGUG